rnacentral:lncRNA from 1 species
GCUUUAUACAUAUCAGAUGGGUAACGAUCUUAACAGCUGAAUUUGGAAAUUUAUUCUAAUGAUGUGAUGUUACACAACUGUUCUUCUUGUCACGGAGCUGUUAUAAGGCACUGGCUUUCAAGACCCAUGUUCAGAUAUAUAUGUUAAUUAUAAACAGGUUCAGAAAUAUACACUUCAAUUAUGUUACAUUGUUUGAUAUAUAGACACAUCCAUUCACUCUCAUUAACUAUCCUCCACUCUCCCGCAUCUCAACAUUUACCAACUUUUAUUAUCGUGAAGGCCUUCACUACUUUCAUCGAUUUCUCACACAUAAAAUCGUUAUUCAUCCCCAGACCACACAACUAUAGGGACAGAAUAUAAACAAACAGAGACAUAAAUUAUACGGCUUCUAAUUAGAAAUGACUACAGUUAAAACACAGCUGCAUCAUACAUUAAAUUUAACGGUCAAUCAGACAGUCUGCUAAAGUUCACUAAAGCAAUAAAUCUACAAAUAAUUAAAACUCUUUACUAUAGUAAAUUAAUGUGGGCAAUUAAAUACCGAUCUUAGAUAAAAACAAAUGUGCAAAGUUUCACCCUAUGACAUACCUCCCAAAUUAACUGUGGCGUCCCGACACACAAACACACUUUUACUCAUACAUGGUAUAUAUAUAUAUAUAUAUAUAUAUAUAUAUAUAUAUAUAUAUAUAUAUAUAUAUAUAUAUACAAUAUUUUUUUUCUUUUUCAUUAUAUGUUUCUUUUUUGUUGUUUUUUUUAACACAUUUAAACAAAUUCAAUGUCUAUGCAUUCUCAUUCGAAAUAUGAAAAUCAUUUAUAAUGGCAAAAUCUUUAAUAUCAUUCUCUUUUACCCACAUGGUCUCACCAUUCUCAUACUGUACAAAAUAAUGUUUUUCUUAUCUCUUAGACUCAUUUCGUGAUCGCAUUGUAUCUAAAAUUUCCACCAUUGUAUUGUCAUUAUUUUCAAUUGAAUCAAUGUUCGGACCAAUAUCUCCUUCAUCUGUAAUGGGCCUAUCAUCAGGAUCUACAAAUUGUUUGAUGCGAUUAACAUGUAUAGUUUGUUCUGACUUUUUCGAAUCACACAUUUGAAUUUUAUAGUUCACAUCUGAAAGUUUAUCAAUAAUUAUAUAUGGUCCAUGCCAAUUAGGAACAAUUUUGUCGAUAGUCAUGGUUUUAUACUUGGAUUAAAAACCCAUAUCUUUUCACCAAUAGCAUAGUUAAUAACACCAGACUUCAAGUCAUACUGUUCUUUUUGCUUCCUCUGAGCUGCUUGUAAAUUGUUUUUGGCUAGUGUAAAUGCCUCUUGCAGUCUAGUCACCCUUCAUGAUUUGUAAUCGUCACUCGAGGUAUACGUUAUAGUAGGCGGACCCGUCACUGCUUCCACUGGUAGUACCGGAUCACGGCCAUGCAUUAAGAAAAACGGAGUCUCUUGUACACUUUCGUACAACGAUCAAUCCAAAAGGAAUAAACGUGUUCCAAUCACGCUAGUGUCCACUAACAUACAUUGAUAACAUUGCGGUUAAUGUUCCGUAAAACGUUCCAAUAAGCCAUCUGUUUCAGGAUGGUAUGCUGUUCUAUAAGUUUACAAAUUUCUUUCAUAAGGCUUGUUCGAAUGUUUUUAACUGUCUUGGAGCCCAAUGACGCCAAACUACUUCAAUACACAUUAUCAUUAACAUAAUAACAUUUCCUAAAUCUACGUUGCAUGAAAAAUCACACAGAAUAUUUAAUUCUAUAAUACACGGAUACAAACAAUUUCUAGCUACAUAAACAUUAUACACAAAAUCACACUUAUUUUCCAAAACACUGACUGUUGAUUCCAUAUCAACUA